AGUGAACGCUGGCGGUAGGCCUAACACAUGCAAGUCGAACGGCAGCACAGUAAGAGCUUGCUCUUACGGGUGGCGAGUGGCGGACGGGUGAGGAAUACAUCGGAAUCUACUUUUUCGUGGGGGAUAACGUAGGGAAACUUACGCUAAUACCGCAUACGACCUACGGGUGAAAGCAGGGGAUCUUCGGACCUUGCGCGAUUGAAUGAGCCGAUGUCGGAUUAGCUAGUUGGCGGGGUAAAGGCCCACCAAGGCGACGAUCCGUAGCUGGUCUGAGAGGAUGAUCAGCCACACUGGAACUGAGACACGGUCCAGACUCCUACGGGAGGCAGCAGUGGGGAAUAUUGGACAAAGGGCGCAAGCCUGAACCAGCCAUACCGCGUGGGUGAAGAAGGCCUUCGGGUUGUAAAGCCCUUUUGUUGGGAAAGAAAAGCAGCAGAUUGAUACCCCGCUGUUCUGACGGUACCCAAAGAAUAAGCACCGGCUAACUUCGUG
rnacentral:rRNA from 1 species